rnacentral:rRNA from 1 species
UACGUAGGGUGCAAGCGUUGUCCGGAAUUAUUGGGCGUAAAGAGCUCGUAGGCGGUUCGUCGCGUCGGCUGUGAAAACCCGGAGCUCAACUCCGGGCCUGCAGUCGAUACGGGCGGACUUGAGUGUUGCAGGGGAGACUGGAAUUCCUGGUGUAGCGGUGAAAUUCGUAGAUAUCAAGCGGAACACCGGUGGCGAAGGCGGCCUUCUGGACAGUGACUGACGCUGAGACGCGAAAGCGUGGGGAGCAAACAGG